ACUGGCCUUACAACUAAUCUUUCAAAAGGACUUACCUAUCAAGAAGUCUAUUUUCCAGUUUCAAGACCCACAGAGCUAGAACUGCUCCAUAAGUAAAUUAAGCUGCUGACGAAUAGAUCGAAGUAACCAAUGGCUCUGUGACCCGGAGCUCUGAAAAAUGUCUCACCUUGGAACCAACCAGCAACAGCAUGACACAACUGGGGAAAUCCAAGACUGCAAGAGGGAUGCUUAAGUAGAGUCGGUCUCCUUAAUAUGAGAUGUUGAAGAACAGACCAAGGAGAAAGCGAGCCUGCAGCACUCCACUGCCAACUCCCCUACCCCAGCUAGUAUUACUUUGUGCUUGAGGGGCUAUGAACCCACUUAACAGGAUUGUUAUCCUGCCACGUUUUUUCGCCCCAGCAUCCUGAGAGGUAAGUCAGAAGCACCAGGAAGUCUGAGUAUCUGCAGAGCCAUUUCCUCAGUUACCUUGAGCUGUAAUUUUUAUUUAUUUCCCCCCUAUUCCUUUAGGCUCAAAGAGAAAAAAAGACCUUUGUAACCUAUGGUUUCUUAUAUACAAAAUGCUAUGGACAUAAGUCUUUACUUAAUGAGAAUGCUGGGAAUAGUAACAAAACACAGAUAAUGAUAAAGGCUAAAAACUACAAGGCAGAUUAUCAUGGAACACAGAUUCUGAUUUCUCUCUGGUGGACUUUCAAACUGCUUAGAGUUCAAAGACACACCAUGGCACUGCAUACUUGUGUCACAAGAGGCCAUUCCUGGGAGUCAGAACAGCAGUGACCCAGUGAUCUUUGCAGGGGUUCCAACCACCUGUCCAGCCACACUUCGACUUCUCCUACACAUCCAGAGACCUAGGUUUCCUGCAUGAGAAUUCAGUGACACAAAGCAUCAGUGACACAUUCAAUGGCCCCUGGGACUCUUCCCUGCUACAUAAACUUCCCAGGGAGUACACACCAUACGUUUCCCUUUCUCUAAGCUUUUACUCUUGGCUCCUCCUGCAGGCAUGUUUCAUUUCCCGUUACUAUUUCAUCUUGUUGGCAUAUGUGCCUAUGCUUUUCAGUAAGUGAAUCACCCAAGAAAAACAACUGCAUUAACCAACACCUAACUCACGCUUUAUGCUAAAUUGUAUAUAACAUGGCCAUAGAGUGGUGACAGUAUUUAGUCUAGGGACAACUUCACAUGACACACCCUUUCUGUUUGAUGAAAGGUGUACUCAGACCAUUUUGGGGAUAAAUACAAAACUGAGCUACAUAUGGUUUCAAAACUGAAAACAGAAUGUGCCACAGACAUGUAUUCAAUCAUUGGUGAAAUGGUAGGAUUUUGUUUAAAAAAUGCAGAAAUAAGAAAAAGAAGUUAGUUGUAAUUUACCUGUGGAUAUAUCUGCAGUUGUAGGUACAUUCCCAUUUUUGUGAAAUGUCCGUAUGUCAAGCUUUUGUGAGGAUGCCAUUUCUGAACACCAUACCGCUCCCUGACUUGACAUGACACACCCUUCUUCAUCCCCACGGCAGAGCGGGUCUUCUACACGCAUUUGCUGAGGUGUCACCUGCAGGCACUAAAUACUACCACUGCUGUCACACG